UACGUAGGGGGCGAGCGUUGUCCGGAUUUAUUGGGCGUAAAGAGCUCGUAGGCGGCUUGGCAAGUCGGGUGUGAAACCUCCAGGCUUAACCUGGAGACGCCACUCGAUACUGCCAUGGCUAGAGUCCGGUAGGGGACCACGGAAUUCCUGGUGUAGCGGUGAAAUGCGCAGAUAUCAGGAGGAACACCGGUGGCGAAGGCGGUGGUCUGGGCCGGCACUGACGCUGAGGAGCGAAAGCGUGGGUAGCAAACGGG
rnacentral:rRNA from 1 species